UUUGAGCUUUGGGAUUUGAUGCUGGU
rnacentral:piRNA from 1 species